rnacentral:lncRNA from 1 species
AUGUCUUAAUUAUUUUUUUUUGCAGGAAAACUUCAAGAAUGAAAAAAGAUUGCUACUUUGGAUUGUGGGCCUGAGUAUCAUGCUGAAUGCUUGGAGAAAUGGCUGAUUGUGAAAAACCUUUGCCCUAUCUGUAAAUCAGAAGCAUUGGCCAUGGAGAAGAGAAACGUAUAAUAGGAAGAAGAAUGACUUCUUUUAAUCUAAUGGGUUUAUUUAGAUAUAUUUAUAUAUAAAAAAACUGCUAAGAAGGUCAUGAAUCUGCCAACUCAUAUCAGACAGAGGAAGAAAGAGUCAUGAAAGAGCAGAGUGAAUUCAUAGGAAUCUACUCCUCCACGAUUUGAGAUUAGCUCUGUUCCUUUCAUCACCGCUGAACGCAGCGGUAGCUUCAAAAAAUUAAAGCUUUAACGACAACAACACAGAGCACAGAUGAAGCACGGCGGACUGAUUUUGCAGUCGUGCGGCAACAAACGGAGGAUAAAACAGACGCAGAAAAUAUCAGCGGCAUCGGCUUCUCAUUGCUUGUGUCUCUGGAAGUCCACCAGCGAUUGCCGCUGCAUCAAAUUACUCUUAUUUUUGUCUCGUUCACCGUACAUUAUUUUGCCGCUGCCGCUGGAUGUGGCGUCUAUGAAACGAACAGACCUAUCAUCAUAGAGAUAUGCGUUUGCACAUUGAGGAAAUGUCUUACUGGUGAGCCAUUCAUUACUCUUUACCAUGUUGUUAUCAUAGUUAUGUAUUUAGCAGCUGCAAGUUGUCUGUCUUCAGAAUUAGUUUGUGAAUCUCGCAAUGUAGUUUUCUGUGAUCACGUUUAUGUGUUUUUGUUGAAACUGAUUUGAUAACACAUUGGUCUGAACAGGAGCUUCUUGCGUUGAGUGAGCGGAUUGGAACUGUAAACACUGGUUUGACAGAGGAAGAUGUCAAGAGCCAUCUGAAAACAAGAACAUGUUCUGUAAUAAACCUUGCAGAAGAAUCACCCUCGUCUCCGCAAACUAAAGAUAAAACUGAACCUUGCACCAUAUGUUAGGUAACAAAAUAUAGCCAAAGAUGAAGCUUUUAAAGGCUGCACAUGCUUGGGUUUUAAGAGAUGUCUUAAUUAUUUUUUUUUGCAGGAAAACUUCAAGAAUGAAAAAAGAUUGCUACUUUGGAUUGUGGGCCUGAGUAUCAUGCUGAAUGCUUGGAGAAAUGGCUGAUUGUGAAAAACCUUUGCCCUAUCUGUAAAUCAGAAGCAUUGGCCAUGGAGAAGAGAAACGUAUAAUAGGAAGAAGAAUGACUUCUUUUAAUCUAAUGGGUUUAUUUAGAUAUAUUUAUAUAUAAAAAAGGAAAC